GCCAUCUUAGCUCAACAGGUAGAGCAACCGUCUUGUAAUCGGUAGGUUGGAGGUUCGAUUCCUACCGGUGGCUCCA
rnacentral:tRNA from 1 species